rnacentral:rRNA from 1 species
GUGCCAGCAGCCGCGGUAAGACGAACCGUGCGAACGUUGUUCGGAAUCACUGGGCUUAAAGGGCGCGUAGGCGGCCAGCCAAGUCCGGGGUGAAAGCCCCCGGCUCAACCGGGGAAGGGCCUUGGAUACUGGCUGGCUGGAGGGAGGUAGGGGCAGCUGGAACUUCCGGUGGAGCGGUGAAAUGCGUUGAUAUCGGAAGGAACGCCGGUGGCGAAAGCGGAUUGCUGGACCUUUUCUGACGCUGAGGCGCGAAAGCCAGGGGAGCGAACGGGAUUAGAAACCCCCGUAGUCC